CGGGAACAGGACGCCGGGGGCCAAUUCAGCCCCUGUGGUGUGACGCAGUUUCUCCGUUGUUCCUCCUGCUCGAACUCAGGACAGAGAUUAGGGUCUCCUCGGACAGUUUCCAGGACACCUAUAGGCCUAAGUCUGGGAGAGAUUUGUAUUAAAAGGCGUUUCCAUUCCAAAUGUUUUUUUUUUCAGGAGGCAGAAGUUGCUCUGAGAAGAAAAGAGCUGAGCGUCUCUGGUUAGAGUUAAAGGGAAACCAACAGCUUUUAGCAGCAGAGUAGAAGAAACAUUGAGGUUUGGAGAUGGUGGGUGGGUCCUAGGUUUCACUAGGUUGAAUCUUUCAGCUUUAAAAGAGACAAGAGUGCUGGCUGUGUUUUGCCUGGCCGCUUUUGCCUGAGGGCAUAAGUGUUAAUCAAUCCCAGGAUUCGAAAGAAAAAAAGCACUUUAAAGGAUGUACUUGUCCAGAGAGACUGGAAUUCAGCUAAUCUAUUCAGAGUUCAGGUGUUGAGAUUGAGGCAUUUUCCUCAAGCCCAGGUUUGUCUCUGCAUUAAGAGACAGCUUAAAAUCUCUACAGGGAUGGGGAAGAAAGCUAAUUCAUGGCAAAACCCGAAAACUUUCCCAUUCUAUAACGUAACCUUCGUAGACGUCUCUAGAAGGUGUCACAAAGGCCCUCCCAGAGGGCUGUUUGCCAAAAGAAAAAAACAGGAUUUUGUCCUCACAGCAUCCUAUGAGCGAGGAAGGCCCCUGAAGACUCCCGGAGUCUGUGAGCAAUCUCAAAUUAGCCCGGGGAUUUGAGCCGCCCCCUCGUUGUAGAAGCAUGAUGUGGUGGGUUUGCCUCAGUGGAAACCUCCUAAGAGGGCCACCAACAUUGAGGGCAAGGUAGCAAAGGAGAAGUGUGGUAGGAGUGGGUGUGUUCAAUAGCUCUUCUCUUAACUCUAGACAGUAUGCAUAUUCUAUAGCCCCUGGGCUCCUUCCGGAGAUAGCCCUGCUACCUUCCAUCAACACACAGUGUAAAAAGCUCUAGGCCUAAACCUUAGCCUAAUCAGGGCUUGAUGAGAUUCCCAGCUUUCUCAAAAGACAAGGUGGGAGUGGCCCUAAGUACUUGGGGGAAGUAAACCUUUAGAGAAAGAAACUCUAGCCCCAGGAAGUAAAAAAGUUAGCAGCAACCAAAGUCUGGCAGCAAAUUAAAAUAUCUAUUUAAGCCAGUUUUACUACAGAUACCUAUCCUUAAGUUUUAACCAUUCCACCUUAUGACCUAUGCAGUCACACCUGAAUUCAAAACUCCCAGCAAAUAUUAGCUGCAGUCCCUAAGGAGAUAGUUUUGAAUUUAUAUUUGAGUAUUUUAAAGGCAAAUGAUCUGUGUGAUGUUAAAUAU